AUUGAACGCUGGCGGCAGGCCUAACACAUGCAAGUCGAGCGAGCGGCGGACGGGUGAGCAAUGUAUGGGGACUGCCCGAUAGAGGGGGAUAACUAUUGGAAACGGUGUCCAAUACCGCAUUCUAUCGGUUAACCCAUAUGGGAUUAGCUAGUAGGUGGGGUAAAGGCUCACCUAGGCGACGAUCUCUAGCUGGUCCGAUAGGAUGAUCAGCCACACUGGAACUGAGAAACGGCCCAGGCUCCUACGGAGGCAGCGGUGGGGAAUAUUGCACAAUGGGCGCAAGCCUGAUGCACCCAUGCCGCGUGUAUGAAGAAGGCCUUCGGGUUGGAAAGUACUUUCAGCGGGGAGGCGUUACCCGCAGAAGAAGCACCGGCUAACUCCGUGCCAGCAGCCGCGGUAAUUC
rnacentral:rRNA from 1 species